rnacentral:rRNA from 1 species
AUUGAACGCUGGCGGCAUGCUUUACACAUGCAAGUCGAACGGCAGCGCGGGCUUCGGCCUGGCGGCGAGUGGCGAACCGGCGCGUAAUGCAUCGGAACGUGCCCAGUAGUGGGGGAUAGCCCGGCGAAAGCCGGAUUAAUACCGCAUACGACCUCCGGGUGAAAGCGGGGGACCGAAAGGCCUCGCGCUAUUGCAGACACCGAUGUCGGAUUCGCUAGUUGGUGGGGUAAAGGCUUACCAAGGCGACGAUCCGUAGCUGGCCUGAGAGGACGACCAUGCACACUGGGACUGAGACACGGCCCAGGGGCCUACGAGGGGACGCAGUGUGGAGGGUUGGACAAUGGGGGCGGGCCUGAUCCAGCCAUGCCGCGUGCCGCAAUGUGGAGGGGGGGUUGUAAACCGCUUUUGUUCGGGAAGACAGAAGAGGGGCUAAUACCCCGGGAGAAUGACGGUACCGGAAGAAUAAGCACCGGCUAACUACGUG